ACGGAGGGGGUUAGCGUUGUUCGGAAUUACUGGGCGUAAAGCGUGCGUAGGCUGAUUAGUCAGUCAGAGGUGAAAUCCCAGGGCUUAACCCUGGAACUGCCUUUGAUACUGCUAGUCUAGAGUAUGAGAGAGGUGAGUGGAAUUCCAAGUGUAGAGGUGAAAUUCGUAGAUAUUUGGAGGAACACCAGCGGCGAAGGCGGCUCACUGGCUCAUUACUGACGCUGAGGUACGAAAGUGUGGGUAGCAAACAGG
rnacentral:rRNA from 1 species